UUAGAGUUUGAUCCUGGCUCAGGAUGAACGCUGGCGGCGUGCUUAACACAUGCAAGUCGAACGGAACACCCUAGAAGGAGUUUUCGGACAACUGAUAGGACUGUUUAGUGGCGGACGGGUGAGUAACGCGUGAGUAACCUGCCUUGGAGUGGGGAAUAACAGCUGGAAACGGCUGCUAAUACCGCAUAAUAUAUCUGGGUCGCAUGGCUCUGGAUAUCAAAGAUUUAUCGCUCUGAGAUGGACUCGCGUCUGAUUAGCUGGUUGGCGGGGUAACGGCCCACCAAGGCGACGAUCAGUAGCCGGACUGAGAGGUUGGCCGGCCACAUUGGGACUGAGACACGGCCCAGACUCCUACGGGAGGCAGCAGUGGGGAAUAUUGGGCAAUGGGCGCAAGCCUGACCCAGCGACGCCGCGUGAAGGAAGAAGGCCUUCGGGUCGUAAAGCUCUGUUGCGGGGGAAAAAAGGCAGCAUCAGGAAAUGGGUGCUGACUGAUGGUGCCCCGCCAGAAAGUCACGGCUAACUACGUGCCAGCAGCCGCGGUAAUACGUAGGUGGCAAGCGUUGUCCGGAUUUAUUGGGCGUAAAGCGAGUGCAGGCGGUUCAAUAAGUCUGAUGUGAAAGCCUUCGGCUCAACCGGAGAAUUGCAUCAGAAACUGUUGAACUUGAGUGCAGAAAAGGAGAAGUGGAACUCCAUGUGGUGCGGUGGAAUGCCUAAAUAUAUGGGAAGAAACACCAGUGGCGAAGGGCGGCUCUUUGGUCUGCAGCUGACGCUGAGGCUCGAAAGCAUGGGUAGCGAACAGGAUUAGAUACCCUGGUAGUCCAUGCCGUAAACGAUGAGGACUAAGUGUUGGGAGGUUUCCGCCUCUCAGUGCUGCAGCUAACGCAUUAAGCACUCCACCUGGGGAGUACGCCGGCAACGGUGAAACUCAAAGGAAUUGACGGGGGCCCGCACAAGCGGAGGAACAUGUGGUUUAAUUCGAUGAUACGCGAGGAACCUUACCCGGGUUUGAACGCAUAUUGACAGCUCUGGAAACAGAGUCUCUAGUAAUAGCAAUUUGCGAGGUGCUGCAUGGUUGUCGUCAGCUCGUGCCGUGAGGUGUCGGCUUAAGUGCCAUAACGAGCGCAACCCUUAUCACUAGUUACUAACAGGUCAUGCUGAGGACUCUAGUGAGACUGCCAGCGUAAGCUGUGAGGAAGGUGGGGAUGACGUCAAAUCAGCACGGCCCUUACAUCCGGGGCGACACACGUGUUACAAUGGUGGGGACAAAGGGCAGCUACCGUGUGAGCGGAUGCUAAUCUCCAAACCCCAUCUCAGUUCGGAUCGAAGUCUGCAACCCGACUUCGUGAAGCUGGAUUCGCUAGUAAUCGCGCAUCAGCCAUGGCGCGGUGAAUACGUUCCCGGGCCUUGCACACACCGCCCGUCA
rnacentral:rRNA from 1 species